AACCUUCAUUUGUUUGGUGUAGUAUUUAGGUUGCUAAAGGCCUACUUCAAAUGCGAAGUGGUUGGCAAGUGGGGAAUGGGUGCUCCAUCUCUGUAUAAGAUGAUGCUUGGUUUCUUGGUCCACAGCCUUGCAAAAUCAAUAUUGAUCGUGUUAGUGGAAUUGACAGAGUUGUAGAUUUGAUUGAUAUGGAUAGGGGCGAGUGGCAGAGUGAGUUACUACGGACUUUAUUUCCUGAAUCACUUGGGCAACCCAUACUGAGUAUCCCAUUGGCUAAGCAUGAUUUAUUGGAUCAUUGGCGCUUGUUCUUGGAGGAUAAUGGUGAACAUUCAGUCUAAAAUGACUAUAAGCUACUGUUGCGAGGCAUCCCGGGGACAGAUGAUGAUCGUUACAUUAAUAUUACACAGCAUACACACCUACUUUAUAAACAUCUAUGGGGGGUUCAUGUGCCCGAGAAAAUGAAAAUUACAUGUUGGCAUUACAUUAAUAAUUUUCUACCUACAAAGGUUAACUUGUAUCAGUGUAGACUUGGGUCCGAUCGUAUGUGUUGCCGCUGUGGUGGUGGUCCCGAGACCAUUCUUCAUGUCUGUCGAGAUUGCCCUAGAGUCCUGCACAUUUGGCACAAUUGGGUAUUAGUUGGGAUCCUAUUCUAGCGGAUAAUGAUACACCCCUUACUUGGGUUGGACAAUUAUUUGCUCAAGGCACUUGCCAUGUACAGCUCUCUAUUCUCACCAUAUGGACUGUCUAGAUCUCACGUAAUAAAAUCGUUUAUGAAGGAAUUUAUCAAUCGGUUCAGACGCUACUUAUCUUUUUUUUUGGGGGUAUCUACACGAAUUAGACUUUCUUCCGUCGAAUACGGGUGGGGUUCUGGCUGUGAAGCCCAUGCUUUUGGAAGCUUCCUGUCGAUCCUUGGGUCCGUGUCAAUUUUGAUGCGGGGCUCUUUGCGAAUCUGCAGGCUGCCAGAGUUGGAGUUGUUGUUUGGGAUUCUGCUUGGUUGCUUUUGGGAUCGGCUUGUUCCUAGUAGGAAAACGUCUCCUGUUCGCUAACAUCGGUGGCCCUUGCUUGCAUUCAGGCUAACCGUUUUACUUAGGAUUUGGGGUUUUAGACAGUUGAACUGAAGGGUGAUUCGUCAGUGCUCAUCUCCAAGUUCAAUAUUGUUGCUAUUGAUAGAUCGAUAAUAAGUUCCAUUACCUGGAAUGCGAAACGAUUAGUGCUAGGUUUUGAGCAUUUCAUGUUUCAUCACAUAAAAUUGGAAGGUAAUACUGUAGCGAACCUGUUACUCGCGAAGGUUUCCUCUGACGGCAGGAUAUCUGUUGGAUGGAGGAAGGAGGAGGGACCAGCAUUAAUUCAGGUGGCAGUCGAUAGUGAUCAGAGGGGAGGGUCUGGUUAUGCUGCUAUGACUAUGGACCUUACGGUUCUUGCUUGAUCUGUUCAUUUCUAGCAAUUCUUGUCUUGUCUUCAACCUUGUUCGUUGAUCACUAGCUGACUAUUGUAGCGUUGGAGCUUUUUCGGGCAUGCAAUUUUGGCCGUGAAGAACAUUUGCGUCUUUCCAGCUACUUUCUACCAGUGUUUUCAUUUAUUUUGUUUUAGUUCUACUUUUUUACAAUUUUUGGCGGUGUGAUGCACAUUAAGGGGCCGCUUCCCCUAGGUUGUUUCUUU
rnacentral:lncRNA from 1 species